GUAAAUGUAAAUGAGAAUGUAACCAACCACCUUUAAAGAGGAGAAUAACAUAAACUCUCUCAGUUUGGAUACCUUUUCAUAAUUAACUUGCUUGCGAACACAACAAUAUUUUCUUUGUUCUCCUUUUUAACUCAUUGCACUUAUUUCCCUUUAAGUAGCAUCACAGUCAGAUUUCACAAAACGUUUCCACACAGAAUGGAUAUGCUACAUAUUCUGUUGUAUAGAAAGGUUCCAUUCUCCAGCUGAUUACACCAAUAUGUUCAGCAAUAUAUAGUACAUUAAGAGUUGUAGAGGCUACUCAGAAAGAGUUUACAUCCACAUCAAAACAGGUCGCCAGUCUACUAUGAACGAGGAGAGAGGAGAGGGGGGACCUCCUACCUCCGAAACCACUCAGUCUGAGGAUCAUGACCACCAGAGAACGGCUAAGAGAAGAGUCCUGCGGACGAGAACAGACUCCCCUGGACCCAGCUGUGUCUCCCUGAAGAGUGAAGGCUGUAUGGAUAAUCCUCCUGAUAAUACAGAUGGACGCCCCUCCAGAAAGAAGAGGUAGGAAUGAUGAGUCAAUUGGACCAUGUUCUUUCCAGUGAAUUCACUGUAAUGCCCUCAUGCUGGCGUUACAAGGUGCCCCUAAGCAAGACAAACCGCUACACUAAGUCCUUCACUCCUUCCACAAUCAGGCUAUUACAGUUUUUCUCGAUUGUAUAAACACAACAAAUGGAACCAUGCACACAAUUCUGAAAACUUGAAGGUCAUGUAUCAACUACAAUACUCCAGAAUGCUAAACUCUAAGCACAAUUCCACUCUUUUCACAUUUUUGCUCAACUCUAAGAACAAGCCUCAUCAUUUAGCACACUUGGUUCACCUGGAUCACACUGGCCUUCAAAACGCAACAACUUAUUGCCAAUAAGUCUAACUCACUUCUCACCUGUUCAAACUCAACUGGCUAAACACUUCAAUCAUGUGUCAGAGCAUUAAAGAGGACUCGGUGAGCUCUACUGUGUUGUAGAUAUGGUCCUUUGGCCUGAUCAGGAUUGGAGGUGGGAUACAUACAGAUUUACAUGUAGAUCUGCUUCACCUCAUUUAUAUUCUUAUUUUUAUUUUUUGGUAGCCUACGAAAGGUUUUUUAUGCAGUCAGUACAGCUGAACAUUGGACUGUAUUACAGUAAAAUAUAUAUAUUUGCUUUGUUACCAUUUUGUACUUGUACUUGCACUGAUUUCAUCAUUACAUCCCCGAAAGACAGUCUAAACAUUUUCGAACUAGUGUUUUUCAUUUUACUUAUCAGUGCAAUUACAGUACUGUACUGUAAUUAACCAAAAUAGGUAACAUGUAUUGUCAGAACAAUGUUGCAGCAUCAACUAUAGGUGUACAGUAUGACUCUGGGAAGCUGGGAUUGUGAGUUUAGCCCAUUGGAGCUUAUUGGAUAGACAAAUAUGCAUUGUAUCCUAUUCUGAUAUGAUUGUGUCAAUGCAAUAUUUAUAUGAUAUAUUCACAGUAUUGUAUUACAAUAUGGCAACAGUUUUUAUACUAUUUGUACCACCUGAUUGCAACUUUAAAAAAGAAAGCUAUUUCUAAACAAUUUUAUACAUUGGAAUAUGUAACAUGACCUCAUAAAGGCAAAAACAUAUGUAAAUAGCAUUUUGAUGGAAGUGUUUUGAAUUGAUCACACAAUUGUUUAAUUGAUGCUCUAUGAGAUAUUCAUUUGAUAGCUGUGUUUACUGUUUGGUGGAAAAAAACAUUUUUGAGAAGAAUUUGUGUAGUUUUGACAAAAUGAUUAACUCUUCUCAGGUGAGUGUUUAGAGCUUUGAGAAAAUGAUCUAUAGUUUCAGAAAACGUGUUUAAACGAUUGAGAAAAACUGUAAACACAGACAGAAGUAAUUUAAAACAACUCUUACAACCCUUUAAACUUGGUUAUUUAUAUGAACCAUAACAGGUGUUAGUCUCUUUGUCUCCUUGUACUGACCUAUGCAUGUUGAUCUGUAGCCUCUGACAUAUAACUAUCUUGACUUGUCUGUGAGUCUUACAAGUAUUUUAAGUUGUGUGAUAGGACUGGGUAAGCUGCAUAUGAAUUACCCUUCUUGGGAUCAAUAAAGUAGACAGAAUCUGAAUCUUGGUUUCAAACAGACAAUGAAUAGAUACAUAGUUGGUUAUUAUCAGAUCCCACUGAUACUGAUGUUCAAUAGUCUGUGUGUGUGCACAUACAGGUGAGUGUGUGUGUGUGUGUGUGUGUGUGUGUGUGUGUGUGUGUGUGUGUGUGUGUGUGUGUGUGUGUGUGUGUGUGUCUGUGUGUGUGUGUUUGUGUGUGUACAGUAUGUGUGUGAUUUCUCCACGGACAACACCAGUAGUGUUCACGAUGGAGUUAAUGCCUUUAAGUUUUAUCUAUGUUACCUUUAGUCACGUUUAGUCACGUGACUAAAAGGUAUAUAAAUGAAAUUGCUUAACUUGCUAACUUGCCAAUUAGAUGAGCCGAUUACCCAAACAGCUAUAGAUAAUGUUAUGUGGGUUAGCCCAGCGCUCGUAUCCAUGGUCAAAACAAUCAUGCUUCAAAUAACUUUAAUAAAGAGAAUUACAAACAUCCAUAAAUCCUUGUUCUUGUUUUUCUAGAAGAGUCCAGCAGGAGAGAGCAGACUCCCCUGGACCAAGCUGUGUCUCCAUGAAGAGUGACUCGUCUAUGGCUAUACCUCUUAACUUUAAAGAUGGAAAUCAGUCUAUUGAGAAGAGGUAAGGGCUUUACCAGAUAUUAUAAAGAUACAGCUUCUAUCAAACAUCCAUUUAUCCUGGUUCUUGUUUUCCAGAAGUGUCCAGCAGGAGAGAGCAGACAGCCCUGGACCCAGGACUGGAAGAGUCCAGCAGGAGAGAGCAGACUCCCCUGGACCAAGCUGUGUCUCCAUGAAGAGUGACUUGUCCAUUGAUAAACCUCUUAACUUUAAAGAUGGAAAUCAGUCUAUUGAGAAGAGAUAAGGCUUUACCAGGUAUUAUAAAGAUACAGCUUCUAUCAAACAUCCAUAAAUCCUGGUUCUUGUU
ensembl:lncRNA